rnacentral:rRNA from 1 species
UACGUAGGGCGCAAGCGUUGUCCGGAAUUAUUGGGCGUAAAGAGCUCGUAGGCGGUCUGUCGCGUCCGUUGUGAAAACUCGAGGCUCAACCUCGGGCUUGCAGUGGAUACGGGCAGACUAGAGUGCGGUAGGGGAGACUGGAAUUCCGGGUGUAGCGGUGAAAUGCGCAGAUAUCCGGAGGAACACCGGUGGCGAAGGCGGCUUCCUGGACCGACCACUGACGCUGAGGCGCGAAAGCUAGGGGAGCAAACGGG